GAACCCAGCAAAAGGAGCUCAAUGAAUCCAGCUUCAAUCAUGAAACCUUUGGUGAGAGAGAACAUAUGUCAUCAGAGCACAAAGGUUUCUGCUGGAGAAUAUAUUAAACUGCUGUUGGAGAUGGGGGCAACAGCUGCUAGACAGAGCAAUUUACAUAGCAGAGAAACGUCCCACCCUUCCUCACCAUGCAGAGCCAUUGCUAGAGAUAAAGUAACUGGAAGAAAUCUGUCCUUGCACCAGGCAGCAGGAGACUCUGGCAGCCUGCAGAAGUCACAAGGAAUUUUUCUCAAAAUUCUUCAUGAACAGAUAAAUUUCUACAGCUAA
rnacentral:lncRNA from 1 species